rnacentral:rRNA from 1 species
AUCUGGGCAGCAGAAUUCAGGAUGGCGAAGCGCGCUUUCGCGGCGCGUCUCGUCGUUUGAUAUUUCUGCCGCCGACUGCAGACGUCGCGACCUGUUCGUCGUCGGUCCCUGCUCGGAGGAGCCGCGUUCGAGCUCGUUGCGGGCGCGUUCCGGCGCGUCACGCGGCGAAGGCGCGGAUCUCUGGCCGAUCGACGGACAGUACGCUCAACGGUGUCCGGUGUCGUCGUUUCGCGCGCGCGGCACCGGUACCGGUCGGCGACGAUUUCUUCGGGCCUCUUUCCGACCCGUCUUGAAACACGGACCAAGGAGUCUAACAUGCACGCGAGUCGCGGGGUGUCGAGCGGUGCCACGGCGCCGCUCGUUACGACGCGAAACCCGUACAUGUCGAAGGCGUAAUGAAAGUGAAUGGGGAAGAUGGUGCUCCGAGUACACGUUCCGCGAUCGUCGGUAUCGCGGCCGGACACCCGCAUUCCCGGGGCGUCUCAAAGGCCCGUCGCGGAUGCGGACGGUCGUCUCUCGGGGCGGCCGUCGGUCCGCGCCGAACCGA